rnacentral:ncRNA from 1 species
CAACCUGAACUCAGUCGUGAUUACCCGCUGAACUUAAGCAUAUCAUUUAGCGGAGGAAAAGAAACUAAAAAGGAUUCCCCUAGUAACGGCGAGUGAAACGGGAAGAGCCCAGCGCCGAAUCGAUCAGUCUUUGGCUGCUUCGAAAUGUGGCGUAUAGGUGUAGUCUUCCAGCAGUGUCGUAUGUCCGAAGUCCUUGCGAUUGAGGCCAUAAACCAGAGAGGGUGCGAGCCCCGUUCUGGAUAGCGGCGCUGUUGGUUCGACUGCUCCUUGGAGUCGGGUUGCUUGAAAGUGCACCCUAAAGUGGGUGAUAAACUUCAUCUAAGGCUAAAUAUUGACUCGAUUGCGAUAGCGAACAAGUACCGUGAGGGAAAGUUGCAAAGGACUUUGAAGAGAGAGUUCAAGAGAACGUGAAAUCGCUGGAGUGGAACCGGAGACAGUUGAUGUUGCUUGGAGACAAUCUUGGUGGCUGAUCGCUUAGCUGUGAUCGCCGCCGGGAGUCGUUUCCUAUGCUACGCCGACGGCGUUGGCCGCUCGUUCUGGCCCGACAGUGUUGCCCAUCUCGCAAGAGACGGUGUCUUGUUGUCGGUCGUUGGUUCGUGGUGGCUAGCGUUUAGUUACGCUAGUGUGUGUGACGUCGGUGUGAAAGUCGACGACGUUUCCGACCCGUCUUGAAACACGGAUUACGGAGUGUUUGUCUGCUGCGAGUCAAAGGGUGUAAAAACCUUGCGGCGCAAUGAAAGUGAAGGUUAGUCUCGAACUGACCGACGUGGGAUCCGUGCUCUUCGGAGUGCGGCGCACCACGGCCCUAUGCGUGUCACUUGUG